rnacentral:tRNA from 1 species
GCCUUGUGGAUAGCUUAGUUGGUAGAGCAUGAGACUCUUAAUCUCAGGGUCAUGGGUCUGAGCCCCACAAUGGGCA